CUUGCUUCUCUUGAAGCGGCGGACGGGUGAGUAAUGCCUAGGAAUCUGCCUGGUAUGGGGGAUAACGCUCGGAAACGGACGCUAAUACCGCAUACGUCCUACGGGAGAAAGCAGGGGACCUUCGGGCCUUGCGCUAUCAGAUGAGCCUAGGUCGGAUUAGCUAGUUGGUGAGGUAAUGGCUCACCAAGGCGACGAUCCGUAACUGGUCUGAGAGGAUGAUCAGUCACACUGGAACUGAGACACGGUCCAGACUCCUACGGGAGGCAGCAUUGGGGAAUAUUGGACAAUGGGCGAAAGCCUGAUCCAGCCAUGCCGCGUGUGUGAAGAAGGUCUUCGGAUUGUAAAGCACUUUAAGUUGGGAGGAAGGGCAGUUACCUAAUACGUAAUUGUUUUGACGUUACCGACAGAAUAAGCACCGGCUAACUCUGUGCCAGCAGCCGCGGUAAUACAGAGGGUGCAAGCGUUAAUCGGAAUUACUGGGCGUAAAG
rnacentral:rRNA from 1 species